GAAAUGCGAUACUUGGUGUGAAUUGCAGAAUUCAGUGAAUCAUCGAAUCUUUGAACGCACAUUGCGCCCCUUGGUAUUCCGAGGGGCAUGCCCGUUCGAGCGUCAUUAUAACCCCUCAAGCCCAGCUUGGCGUUGGGGCCUGCUGUUGCAAUGAGCUUUUCA
rnacentral:misc_RNA from 1 species